rnacentral:rRNA from 1 species
UACAGAGGGUGCGAGCGUUGUCCGGAAUCACUGGGCGUAAAGGGCGCGUAGGUGGCGCUCCAAGUCUGUGGUGAAAGCUCGAUGCUCAACAUCGAGUCGGCCAUAGAGACUGGAGGGCUCGAGCACUGUAGGGGCAGAUGGAAUUCCGGGUGUAGCGGUGGAAUGCGUAGAGAUCGGGAGGAACACCAGUGGCGAAGGCGGCUCGCUGGGCCGGUCCUGACGCUGAGACGCGAAGGCGUGGGGAGCGAACGGG